rnacentral:rRNA from 1 species
CACGUAGGGUGCGAGCGUUGUCCGGAAUUAUUGGGCGUAAAGAGCUCGUAGGCGGUGUGUCGCGUCGGCCGUGAAAACCUGCAGCUUAACUGUGGGCUUGCGGUCGAUACGGGCAUCACUGGAGUUCGGCAGGGGAGACUGGAAUUCCUGGUGUAGCGGUGAAAUGCGCAGAUAUCAGGAGGAACACCGGUGGCGAAGGCGGGGUCUCUGGGCCGAUACUACGCUGAGGAGCGAAAGCAUGGGGAGCGAACAGG